UACGUAGGGUGCGAGCGUUGUCCGGAAUUAUUGGGCGUAAAGAGCUCGUAGGCGGUGUGUCGCGUCGGCCGUGAAAACCUGCAGCUCAACUGCAGGCUUGCGGUCGAUACGGGCAGGCUCGAGUUCGGUAGGGGAGACUGGAAUUCCUGGUGUAGCGGUGAAAUGCGCAGAUAUCAGGAGGAACACCGGUGGCGAAGGCGGGAUCUCUGGGCCUUACCUGACGCUCAGGCGCGAAAAGCUAGGGGGAGCGAACAGG
rnacentral:rRNA from 1 species